UACGUAGGGCGCAAGCGUUGUCCGGAAUUAUUGGGCGUAAAGAGCUCGUAGGCGGCUUGUCACGUCUGGUGUGAAAGCCCGGGGCUUAACCCCGGGUCUGCAUUCGAUACGGGCUGGCUGGAGUGUGGUAGGGGAGAUCGGAAUUCCUGGUGUAGCGGUGAAAUGCGCAGAUAUCAGGAGGAACACCGGUGGCGAAGGCGGUUCUCUGGGCAUUACCUGACGCUGAGGAGCGAAAGUGUGGGGAGCGAACAGG
rnacentral:rRNA from 1 species